AAAAAUUUAGUUAAAAAAUAACAUUAACUUGUCAAGUUAAAAUUAUUAUAAUUAUAAUAAUUUUUG
rnacentral:tRNA from 1 species